AUCACUUCUUGACCUUUGGCUAAGAUCAAAUGUAGUAUCUGUUCUUAUCAGUUUAAUAUAUGAUAUGUCCUCUAUUGAGGACAAUAUAAUAAGCAAAUUUGGGGAAAUGGGAGGUAGAACAGGAGCUUGCUCCAUCCACUCCAAGCAUCAACCUGGUAUUGCAGUACUUCCAGAUAUGGUGCAGCAGUA
rnacentral:snRNA from 1 species